rnacentral:rRNA from 1 species
CGCGCGUGUGUGAUGAAGGCCUUCGGGUCGUAAAGCACUUUUUCUGGGAGAUGAAGAAAGGACAGUAUCCCAGGAAUAAGUCUCGGCUAACUACGUGCCAGCAGCCGCGGUAAAACGUAGGAGGCGAGCGUUAUCCGGAUUCACUGGGCGUAAAGCGCGUGCAGGUGGCGCGGUAAGUUGGGCGUGAAAUCUCCCGGCUCAACUGGGAGAGGUCGUCCAAUACUACCGUGCUUGAGAGCAGAAGAGGAAGAUGGAAUCCCCGGUGUAGUGGUGAAAUGCGUAGAUAUCGGGAGGAACACCAGUGGCGAAGGCGAUCUUCUGGUCUGUUUCUGACACUCAGACGCGACAGCUAGGGUAGUAAACGGGAUUAGAGACCCCGGUAAUCCUAGCCGUAAACGAUGUGAACUUGGCGUUGGUGGGUUAAACUCCAUCAGUGCCGUAGCAAACGCGAUAAGUUCACCGCCUGGGGACUACGGCCGCAAGGUUA